GUCCCUGCAGCACAAUGGAUAGUGUGUUGAACUUCUAAUCCAAAGAUCGUGGGUUCGAAUCCCACCUGGGAUG
rnacentral:tRNA from 1 species